rnacentral:rRNA from 1 species
CUCGUAGGCGGUUCGUUGCGUCCGGUGUGAAAGUCCAUCGCUUAACGGUGGAUCCGCGCCGGGUACGGGCGGGCUUGAGUGCGGUAGGGGAGACUGGAAUUCCCGGUGUAACGGUGGAAUGUGUAGAUAUCGGGAAGAACACCAGUGGCGAAGGCGCCUUUCUGGACUGUGUCUGACGCUGAGAUGCGAAAGCCAGGGUAGCGAAG